rnacentral:rRNA from 1 species
GUCUGCAGCGAUGGCCCCCUGAACGUGCCCGAUCCCGUCGGAUCUCGGAAGCUAACGGGGUCGGGCCUGGUGAGGACUUGGAUGGGAGACCACCGAGGAAGACCGGGUGCUGUAGGCA